GCAUUGCCCGGUAGCUAAGUGCGGAAGAGAUAACCGCUGAAAGCAUCUAAGCGGGAAACUUGCCUUGAGAUGAGUCUUCCCUGACUCUUUAAGAGUCCUAAAGGAACGUUUAAGACUAAGACGUUGAUAGGUUGGGUGUGUAAGCGUAGCGAUACGUUGAGCUAACCAAUACUAAUGAACCGUGAGGCUUAACCUG
rnacentral:rRNA from 1 species